AAAGAACAGCAAGAACCACAUGGCGCGAACAAAGUAGCAGUGGAAAAAGUGUCAGGAAAGGAAGAUGGAGAGAUAUUAUAGGAAUGAGAUUACGUAGAAUUUCACAAACCAUGUUCCUGGGACUCUUAGUGUGAUGUUGAAUAGCAGUGCUUAGAGCAGACAUCUCUGCCUUGUUCCCCAUCUUAAGGUAAGAACCGUCAGUUUUUAUAAUUGAAUAUAAAAGCUAUUGGUAAUUUUUAUAUAAAUUUUAUCAAUGUGAGAAUGUUUCUAUUUGCAGUUUUUUGAGAGUUAUUACUUAUAGUGGCGGCUGGAUAUAAAGUGCUUUUCCUACAUCUACUGAAAUUACUGUUUUCUUGUCUUUUAUUUUAUCAAUAUGGUGAUUAGUAUUGACUGAUUUUUUUUGGAUAAUAAAUCAAGUGGUGAAAUCCUAGAUUCAAACCUGUUGGUUUCAUAAUUUUUUUUUCUGAAAAAUAUUUGUAUUUAUAUUCAUUGGAGUACUGUUCUGUAGUUUUCUUUUUUGGUGGUGUCUGUGUGUGGUCUUAGUGUUAAUGAGCUAAUGAUCUUCUCAAGUGAGUUGGUAUAUAUUCAUUUUUCUUCUGUAUUCUGAAAGUGUUUGUGUAGGAUUGCUACUAUUUCUCUUAAAAUGUUUGAUGAUAUUCACUAAUGAAGCCACCUGAGUCUCAAGUUUCUUUGAAAGAAGGGUUUUAAGUAUGAACUGAAUUUCUUAAUUUGUAUGGGGCAAGGCAUUAUUUUGUUUUUUCUUGUGUCAGUAUUGGUAAUUUGUGUUUUUUAAGGAGUUGACAACUUAUGUAAAUUGUCAAAUUUCUUGGCAGGAAAAUAUUUGUAAUAUCCCCUUAUUAUUCUUUUAAUGUUUGCAGUAUCUAUAAUUAUCUUCCCACUUUUAUUUCUGAUACUAGUAAUAAGUAUAUUAUCUUCUUUUGUCUUGAUCAAAUUUAUUAAUCUUUUCUGAGAACCUGCUUUUGGUUUCAUUUAUUUUCUAUAAUUUUUGUUUAUUUUCUGUUCAGUUGAUAUCUGCCCUUAUCGUUAUAGUUUCCUUCCAUUUAUUUUGGUUUAAUUUUGUUCUUCUUUGUGUAGUUUCUUUAGAUAAAUCCUUAGAUCAUUGGUUUGGGAUUUUUUUUUUGUUUGCUUCUAAUAUAAGUAUUUAAGGCUAUAACUAUGUUACCCUAAGUACUUCUUUAGAUGCAUCUCACAAGUUUCCAUAUCAUGUUUUUAUUACAUUUAAUUUAAAGUAUUUCCUAAUUUUCCUUUUUAUUUCUUUUUCCAUUCAGGAUUAUUUAGAAGUGUGUUUUUUUUUAAUUUCCAAAAUUUGGGGGUUUUCGUACAUAUAUAUUUUACUGCUGUUGAUUUAUUCUUUAAUUCCAUUCUGGUCAGAAAGCAUAUGCUGUACUGUAUCAAUGAUUUAAAAUACAUUGAUAUUGGCUUUAUACUUUUAAUCAUGACACUGUGUGCACAUAAAAACAAUGUAUUCUACAAUUGUUGGCAAUAGUUCAAAAUGGUUGAUAGUGUUUUUCACAUUUUUCACAUCUUUGCUAAUUUUAUCUAGUUGCUCUACCAAUUUCUGGGAAAGUAGUGUUAGUAUCUGUUGGGGAGCCAGCUAUCCUGUGACCUGCCAUGGCUAUGGCCACUUGAAUGCCCAAUCUGCCAGGAGCAAAGAACAAUAUUGAGUGUUCAACAUGGCACAAUCCCUCUGGGUGAUCAUUAGCCAGCUGCUUGGUGGCAGGAUGAUUGCAGUGGAGUGCUUCCAUCAAAGAAGAGGCAGUUUUUAUUCUUAUUGGAGUAGAUAUAUUUUUGUUAGGGAAGUAGUCAUUUCAUGACCAGGCACACCACUCUGAACUGCCCAAACAGUGCCCUAGACCUGAAACAUUCCCCUCUAUGGAAGAUGAGUGAGGAAUUGUCACUUUGCCCCAGAUUCUUCCUUCCUAUUAGGAAAAACCUCUCCUCUGUCCUGGGUAUGAAGUGAAUUUCCUAACAUUGCUUAAGCAUGUGUGUCAUAGGGUACGUAGCCAGCUCCAAUCCAUUUAGGAAAGAAAGAGUCUUUGCCUGCAGUAUGAAAGGGGUCUGGGUGUGCCCUGUGUAGGGUACUGUGAGAGACCAACUGGCCAUGGAAGUCCAGCACACACUACAGACACCGAUGUUUCUGUGAUGCUUCUUUUUGUGGGUAAAGUGUUUUUUCCAACCAGUACCUUGGUCUGGAGUCUUCCUUGGUGAAUCCAAACCCAUAAAAGAUGCAGUGGGCUGAGGCCUGUGGACUUCUACUUCUGGGUGUUGACAUCGUUAUAAUCUUUGAUAUCCUUCAUGCGGUGAGAAUCCUAACUUGGGAUUGUCAGCUAGAUCUUCUUACUCUUGACAGCAUCUCCUACUAUAAUUGUAAUAUUGUCUCUUUUUAUUUCUCUAGUUCCAUCAGUCUUUGCUUUAUAUACUUCAUAGCAUUAUUAGUCAAAUGCAUAUAUAUGAAUUAAGUCUUAGGGAUGAAUCAUCCUCUUAAUCCUUAGGAAAUUUCCCAUUUUAGUUUGAUAAUACUCAUAGUUUUAGACCUAUUUUAUAUUAAGUAGUUGUUUCAGCCUUUUUAUGCAUACUGCAUGCCUGAUAUACAUUUUUAACCCAUUUACUUUCAUUCAAUCUAUGUUUUUAUAUAUGUCUUCUGUAUACAGCAUGUAGUUGAGUCUUGCUUUUUCAUGAAUUCUUAUAAUAUCUAUCUUUUUAUUAUAGUGUUUGGCUCAUUAAAGUUUAAUUAUUGAUAUUGGUUCAUGUUUACCAAUUUAACAUUUUUGUUUAAUUUAUCCUGUCUGCUUUUUAUCUCUUUUAUUUUUUCUAUCUUUUUAUAUUAUUUGAUUCAGUUUUAGUAUUUCAUUUAAAACUUUUCAUUGGCUUUCAUUCUACUAUUUUUUUGCUAUAUUAUUUGUUUCCUUUUUUUCUGUGAAUUCUCUAUAGAUUUAUCUUAACCGUAUUACCGUGGGUGAGGUAUGGCAAAGUCAGAUGCACAUAAAGAGAGUUAAACUAGAAGGUUUUGCAGUUUGUUAUAGUUCCCUGAGAAGAACAUAGCACACUACCCAGGACCAUUUAGGAAGCACAAGAAGCAGAGGGAAACCGUGGGAAAGCACCUUGAUUGUUUCCUUGGGAAGGCAAGAGUGAGUUAGGGCAAUUGGAUUUAGGUUGGCUAUUUUGAAUCAUUUCACUAGGCUAUGAGGCAUAGAGGUUGUCCCUGGUUGUCUAAUAUCUAGCCCUGGGGCAAUUAGUGCAGGUAUAUUGUGGUCUGAAAUGUGAAACUGAUAAAGGAGGUGGUUGGGAGUGUGAAGUUAAUUGGCUUCUCAAGAAGAGGAACUGAUCUGUCUCUAACCAGGGGCCCAAAACUGGGCCAAGAUAGCAUUUUAAAAACUAUAUUACAAGAUUAUAGCUAUAUCCUUAAUAUUUCACAAGCCACUUAGAGUUAAUGUUGCAUGACUUUGAAUAAAAUGUAGAAACCUUGCAACUAUAAAGGUCAAUUUAUCUCCUUCCCAUCUUUUAUGUUAUAGUUAUUACAUGUAUUACAUUACCACAGAUUAUAUACCUUAAGAGCUGUCCUAAACUUUGCUUUAAACUGUCAUACAUGUUUAGAAGGAAUUUAAAGGAAACAUUAUCUUUUUGUAUUUACCAUUUUCAGUGCUCUUUAUUCCUUUCUGAGGAUCCAAGUUUCCACUUGGUAUCAACGUCUUUCUGCCUGAAUAACUUCCUUUGCUACUUCCUAUAAUGUAGGCACUAAUGACAAUGCAUUCCUUAGUUUCCUUUUAUUUGAAAAUGUCUUUAUUUUCCCUUCAUUAUUAAAGUAUGUUUUCAUUGGACAAAGAAAAUAUGGUUGACAGGUUUAUUUUUUCAUUCAGUAAUUUAAAUAUGUUUCUUAAUUCUCUUCUAACCUCUGUACUUCCUGAUGAGUAAUUAAAUGAAUUUUAGAUGAAUCAUGGCUUUUAUGACAUAAUACACCAUUUUCCUGUUGCUACUUUCAAAAUUUUCUUUAUUUCAGUUUUCAACUGUUAAAUUUCAAAAUGCCCAGACAGGGACUACUUAGUGUUUAUUCUGAUUGGAGUUCCUUGAGCAUCCAGAUUCUGUAAAUGUAUGUGUUUCAUCAAAUUUGGAAUAUUAUAGCCAUUUUAAUUCAAAUUUAUUUUCUGACAUAUUUUCUCUUUCUUCUCCUUCUGGGACCCAAUUACAUAUACUUAAGUCAAAUUGAUAUUAACUACCAAGUCUCUGAGAAUCUGUUCAUUAAAAAAAAAAAAAAAA
rnacentral:lncRNA from 1 species